rnacentral:misc_RNA from 1 species
ACGAGUUAGGGUUCCGCUUCUAAGGGCCCGACCUCCCAACCCUUUGUCUACCGAACCUAUUUUAUGAAAACACCCUCGGCGGGUUCGCGCCCGCCGACGGUGAAUUCUUAAACUCUUGACCAGUUAAAAAUCUUAACUAUAAA